UAACUAAAAAUUAAUUAUUUAAUUUUCUCGAACUUAGAAGAGCUAGCCAGGUGGAUAAUUUAUUGUUGAAUAAAUAUUUAAAACAUUUGGUUGGUAAUGAAAUGUUAUUCGUUUCUAAAUAUAUCUAGUUUUUCAAGAAAUAGAUUUAAUCUAACUAGUUUAAUACAAUGUUUUAUUUUGUUAAUAUUUUGUAUGGACUAGUAAAUAUCUAAAGGGAUAAGCUUUUAGAUAAAGUUUUAUAAGUAGGGGGGUAAUGCAGGAUUAGUAGGAUUAGAAGCUUCCAUCUCUUAUAACGUUACAGUUGAUCCUGGCUUUUAUAUAAUUUAUAUUUACUUUAAGUUUUUUAUUGAAAUAUAAUUUUUAAUUGUUUCUAAUUAGUAAUAAUGAUAGAAUUAGUAUAUUCACUUGUUAGUUUCGAUAGUGAUUUCAAGGUUAAUAAAAGGAAUUCGGCAAUAGAUUUUCCACCUGUUUAUUAAAAACAUGGCCUUUCGAAAUUUAUUUAAGGUCUAGCCUGCCCACUGAGUCUUUAAAUGGCCGCGGUAUCCU
rnacentral:rRNA from 1 species